UAUACAAUGGGUGAAAUCCUAUA
rnacentral:siRNA from 1 species